rnacentral:ribozyme from 1 species
GAACAGAUACAUAAGCCAAAAAAUAUCAUAGAGAUGAUUAGCCAAAUGAUGCUUAUUUUUUUACUUUCCUCGUUUGUAUCUUCAUUUUUAUAUUCAAUGCCUUCUACUCUGAAAUCAAAAACAUGCCCGAAGGUA